AAAAGAAGAAGAAGAAGCGCUAAUCUAAAAAGGAAAACAAUUAGAGAUAAAACCUAAAAGAAACAAAACUCAAUUCUCUCUCUCACGGCGAUCUCGUCGACCUUCAUCUUCAUAAUACGUCUUUGAGCCUCCCUCUCUGCAUCUCCCAUCUUUGAAGCUCUGAUCUCUGCAGGAAAGAGUCUGGAGCAUUUCUAAAAUUUAGCUCAAGUUCAAGAUCUUAAGGUUAGACAACAAUUCGAUCCUCAAAUUGUUGAUAGAAGACAGAGCCCCAAAAUUAGUCAGUGUCAUCACCAGGUGAGUUAUAUUCUCUUAUUUUUUAUAUGUAUAAUAUAUACUCUAUGCUAAUUUGUAUGUGUGUUGAUAAUAUAUACGAGUUUGAUUAUGCACAAGAACCCUAGAUACAUUCCCGGCGUGUGCAUAGGCUAGCGUAGAUGGUGACCGGAUGAAAUUUAAUUUUGAUUGCUUGAUCAUGAGAAUUUUGAAUGUUUUGACUUUUCUUUUUGAUGAUUGAGUGCAAAGGUUCUUGGAGUAAAAUCAGGCUACAUCAAGGGUUGUGGUUUUGGCCCUAGGCCUCCACCAUCUAGUACUUCUCGAUCGUCACUAGAUGAAAUGUUUGAGAAGAAUAAAGAGUUAGAAGAUAAACUUGAAGAGACCCAAGAUACUAUAAAGGCUCAACAAGAAAAGAUUGAUGCACAAAACGUGCUGAUCCAAGAAUUGCAGGAGCAAGGCAAAAAGUUUGAGCAGUUCAUGGCAACCUUUAUGAACCAACAAGCAUCGAGUUAGUUAUGCAUAUCUAGGAUUUAGUAUCAGUUAAACAAGUUCAUUGAUUUUUGAAUCAUUUUUAGUGCAGUAUUGACUUUAGACUAUUCCAAUUUGUAGUUAUAGUAGACAACAUUAUGAAUUAUUAUUUUGUUUAUUGUUUAACUAGUUUUGAAUAAGAA